rnacentral:tRNA from 1 species
GCCUGACUGGCUCAGUUGUUGGAGCAUGUGACUGUUGUUCUCGGGGUUGUGAGUUCGAGCCCCACAUUGGGUG